rnacentral:lncRNA from 13 species
AUGAUACAACACACACGUACGCACGCACAGCAUGUGAAUGUUACCCAGACUCCAACUAACUGGGUUCAGUCUGUUGGACUAAAGGUUAUAGGCAGACAGACAUACAGACAGGAAGCAGCAUCCGGUCCGCAGCCAUUCCAUUCUUCUCACGUUCUCUUCCUCUCAAAUGUCAGACGGCCUGUUAGGUUACCUACCGACCAAUCUGAUCCGCAAUUUAUUCCGGACAGUCUCUCUCUCUCUCUCUCUCUCACUCACUCACUCACUCACUCACUCACUCACUCACUCACUCACUCACUCACUCACUCACUCACUCACACACACACACACGCACACACGCACACACACAAUUCACAACACACCCAACCAAGCUUUAUGUAUUCUGUACAGGCUCUCAUUGACAUUCCACUGAGAGAGAGCCUUCCCAAUUCCCAUGAUGCAUCACAUCAGCUCAUUACUCCGUCUCCGUAUUAGCUGGUUGGAAUAUCGCUGAGGAAGAGUGUGUGGGCGUGCGUGCGCAGUUGGAUGCAGUCUUUUGUGUGUGUGUGUGUGUGUGGAGGUGGGCUGCAGUCUUGCACACAAAUCAAAUUGUAUUGGUAACAUACACAUAUGUAGCAGGUGUUAUUGCGGGUAUAGCGAAAUGCUUAUGUUCCUAGCUCCAACAGUGAAGUAAUAUCUGGCAUUAUAAAACAAUACACACAAUCUAAAGUAAAAUAAUGUAAUUAAGAAAUAUAGAAAUAUUAGGAUGAGCAAUGCCAGAGUCCGGAAUAUAAAUAUAGAUGUAUAUGAUGGGAUGUAUAGACAUGGACAGUAUCUCAAUAGAAUGUGUUGUAUGUAUGUAGAAUAUGUAGGAUAGAAUAUCUCGUAUACACAGUCAUGGCCAAAAGUUUUGAGAAUGACACAAAUAUUAAUUUCCACAAAGUUUGCUGCUUCAGUGUCUUUAGAUAUUUUUGUCAGAUGUUACUAUGGAAUACUGAAGUAUAAUUACAAGCAUUUCAAAGUGUCAAAGGCUUUUAUUGACAAUUACAUGAAGUUGAUGCAAAGACUCAAUAUUUGCAGUGUUGACCCUUCUUUUUCAAGAACUCUGCAAUCCGCCCUGGCAUGCUGUCAAUUAACUUCUGGGCCACAUCCUGACUGAUGACAGCCCAUUCUGCCAUAAGCAAUGCUUGGAGUUUGUGGGUUUUUGUUUGUCCACCAGCCUCUUGAGGAUUGACCACAAGUUCUCAAUGGGAUUAAGGUCUGGGGGGUUUCCUGGCCAUGGACCCAAAAUAUCGAUGUUUUGUUCCCCAAGCCACUUAGUUAUCACUUUUGCCUUAUGGCAAGGUGCUCCAUCGUGCUGGAAAAGGCAUUGUUCGUCACCAAACUGUUCCUGGAUGGUUUGGAGAAGUUGCUCUCGGAGGAUAUGUUGGUACCAUUCUUUAUUCAUGGGUGUGUUCUUAGGCAAAAUUGUGAGUCAGCCCACUCCCUUGGCUGAGAAGCAACCCCACACAUGAAUGGUCUCAGGAUGCUUUCCUGUUGGCAUGACACAGGACUGAUGGUAGCGCUCACCUUGUCUUCUCCGGACAAGCUUUUUUCCGGAUGCCCCAAACAAUCGGAAUGACUUUACCCCAGAAAAUGACUUUACCCCAGUCCUCAGCAGUCCAAUCCCUGUACCUUUUGUAGAAUAUCAGUCUGUCCCUGAUGUUUUUCAUGGUGAGAAGUGGCUUCUUUGCUGCCCUUCUUGACACCAGGCCAUCCUCCAAAAGUCUUCGCCUCACUGUGCGUGCUGAUGCACUCACACCUGCCUGCUGCCAUUCCUGAGCAAGCUCUGUACUGGUGGUGCCCCGAUUCCGCAGCUGAAUCAACUUCAAGAGACGGUCCUGACGCUUGCUGGACAUUCUUGGGCGCCCGGAAGCCUUCUUCACAACAAUUGAAUCGCUCUCCUUGAAAUUCUUGAUGAUCUGAUAAAUCAUUGAUUUAGUUUGCAAUCUUACUGUCAGCAAUACCCUUGCCUGUGAAGCCCUUUUUGUGCAAAGCAAUGAUGAUGGAAUGUGUUUCCUUGCAGAUAACCAUGGUUGACAGAGGAAGAACAAUGAUUCCAAGCACCACCCUCCUUUUGAAGCUUCCAGUCUGAUAUUUGAACUCAAUCAGUAUGACAGAGUGAUCUCCAGCCUUGUCCUCAUCAACACUCACACCUGUGUUAACGAGAUAAUCACUGACAUGAUGUCAGCUUGUCCUUUUGUGGCAGGGCUGAAAUGCAGUGGAAAUGUUUUUUGGGGGGAUUCAGCUCAUUUGCAUGGCAAAGAGGGACUUUGCAAUUAAUUGCAAUUCGUCUGAUCACUCUUCAUAACAUUCUGGAGUAUAUGCAAAUUGCCAUCAUUCAAAAUGAGGCAGCAGACUUUGAAAAUUAAUAUUUGUGUCAUUCUGGAAACUUUUGGCCACGACUGUACAGUUGAAGUCGGAAGUGUACAUACAUGUUAGCCAAAUACAUUUAAACUCAGUUUUUCACAAUUCUUGAAAUUGAAUCUGAGUAAAAAUUCCCUCUUAGGUCAGUUAGGAUCAACACUUUAUUUUAAAAAUGUGAAAUGUCAGAAUAAUAGUUGAGAGAAUGCUUUUAUUUCUUUCAUCACUUUCCCAGAGGGUCAGAAGUUUACAUACAUUAGCCCAUUCCUCCUGACAGAGCUGGUGUAACUGAGUCAGGUUUGUAGGCCUCCUUGCUCGCGCACACUUUUUCACUUCUGCCUGCCAUCCAGGACCUCUACACCAGGCGGUGUCAGAGGAAGGCCCUAAAAAUUGUCAAAGACCCCAGCCACCCCAGUCAUAGACUGUUCUCUCUACUACCGCAUGGCAAGCGGUACCGGAGUGCCAAGUCUAGGACAAAAAGGCUUCUCAACAGUUUUUACCCCCAAGCCAUAAGAAUCCUGAACAGGUAAUCAAAUGGUUACCUGGACUAUUUGCAUUGUGUGCCUCCCCAAACCCUCUUUUUAUUUUUUCACUGCUGCUACAAUAUUUGCAUUGUCACUUUAACUAUACAUUCAUGUACAUACUAACCCAAUUGGGCCAACCAACCAGUGCUCCCGCACAUUGGCUAACCGGGCUAUCUGCAUUGUGUCCCGCCACCCGCCUCCCACCAACCCCUCUUUUACACUACUGCUACUCUCUGUUCAUCAUAUAUGCAUAGUCACUUUAACCAUAUCUACAUGUACAUACUACCUCAAUCAGCCUGACUAACCGGUGUCUGUAUGUAGCCUCGACUUCAGUGUUAUGUGUGUAAGUUAGUCAUGCUCCAAGGCUUGGGAUCAGAUGAGUUGAGCAGUGCAGUGUUUGACAGUGGUGGAAAAAGUACCAAAGUCAUACUUCUGUAAAAGUAUAGAUUCCUUAAUAGAAAGUUACUCAAGUAAAAGUGAAAGUCACCCAGUAAAAUACUACUUGAGUAAAAGUCUAAAAAUAUUUGGUUUUAAAUAUACUUAAGUAUCAUAAGUAAAUGUAAUUGGUAAACUAUACGUAUACGUUUCAAAAGUAGAAGUAAAAGUAUGAAUGAUUUAAACGCAAAGCAGACGACACCAUUUUCUUGUUUUUUAAAUGUACGGAUAGCCAGGGGCACACUCCAACACUCAGACAUAAUUUACAAAAGAUGCAUUUGUGUUUAGUGAGUCCGCCAGACCAUAAGCAGUAGGGAUGACCAUGUGUUCUCUUGAUAAGUGCGUGAAUUUCACAAUUAUCCGGUCCNNNNNNNNNNGAGCAAGUGAGGUGAGAUAAGGGAGGUUAAGGCAAAAAAAGGGGGAAGAUGCACUGUCGUGCCCUCUUCACGACUGUGUGGAACAUGAUAAUUCAUUAGUGAUGUGGACACUAAGAAACUUGAAGCUCUCGACCCGCUCCACUACAGCUCCGUCAAAGUGGAGAGAUCACUUUGAGGAACAUUAUUAUGAUACAACACACACGUACGCACGCACGCACAGCAUGUGAAUGUUACCCAGACUCCAACUAACUGGGUUCAGUCUGUUGGACUAAAGGUUAUAGGCAGACAGACAUACAGACAGGAAGCAGCAUCCGGUCCGCAGCCAUUCCAUUCUUCUCACGUUCUCUUCCUCUCA